UCUAAGUUAUUUUAAAUAAUACCUUUGCCUUUGUAAGCAAAAAAUACUACACUUUCACUUCAGUUCUUCAUUUCAUCUCUCUCUCUCUCUCUCUCUCUUUCUCAUGGCAAAUCCCUCUCAGUUUCAGAGCUUUUGAAAGUGUUUCAAUGGAGAACAGGACUGAUGAAUACGCCUAUAUAAUGUUCAACAAUUGAAGAAAACGAAGAAGAACUCAAAUGCGGGUUAAGGAGAUGCACCCACUCUGUUGCAUCACUCUGGAGAAUUUCAGCGGCGGAAUCGGCGACCAGUCGCCGGAGGAAGCCACAUCGUUGUCCCGGAGUAGAAGUUUGCCGGUGAGCCUUCUGGCAUUUUCGAAUAAUAAUAACACUCUGCAGAUUUCUGGAUCUAUAACUAGGGUAGCUGGUGUUCUUUACAAAUGGACUAAUUACGGGAAAGGAUGGAGAUCGAGAUGGUUCGUGUUAAGAGAUGGUGUUUUGUCUUACUCCAAAAUUAAUCUUCUAUCUCCCGAUGAUGAUGUUCGAUUGAUCGGAGAGAUUUCGACGAAUCGGCUUUCGAGAAGGAAGCGACAGAAAACUGGGGGAAUAGUUCAUUUGAAGGUAUCACGGUUCCGAGAAAGCAAGUCAGAUGACCGGCGGUUUUAUAUAUUCACUGCCACAAAGACACUUCAUCUGAGAGCAGAAUCAAAGAAAGACAGGGUGACCUGGAUACAAGCUUUAGCCUCUUCCCGAAGCUUAUUUCCAUUGCAAAUUGUGAACGAUAAUCUUCCCUUUGUACCCAAUGAUUUAUCCCUUUCCACUCAGAAACUCAAGAAGCGUUUACUUGAAGAGGGAAUCAGUGAUGCAGUUGUUAAGGACUGCGAACAAAUCAUCCUCUCCGAGUUCUCAGAAUUGCAGGGACAGCUGAAAGUACUUUUGGAAGAAAGAUCUUGUUUGAUUGAUACCUUGAGAGAAUUGGAGGCAGCUAAUAUUGAAAUAGAAGCUAAUGGAGUUCACAAUGGUGAGUACCAGUUGAUGAAACAUGAUUUUUCCACCGAAUGCAGUGGAAAAUAUAGUGAAUGUACUACUACAGAGUCUUCAGAUGACGUUGAAAAACAAGAUCUUGAAGAUGGGUCAGAUGCUGAUGAAAGUUUCUUCUAUGACACAACCGAAACAUUUUCAGAACUCACUCUUAGCUGUGGGUCAGUAGAAGGGGCUUCUAAUUCCUUAGAUAAGGUUAAGGAUCUUGAAAGUCAAAAGGAUGAUGUAGAGAAGAUGCACGACAAACAGAGAAUUGAAAGUUCUGUUCAUUUUAAUGUUCAGAGAAGAAAAAAGCUCCCAGAUCCCGUGGAGAAAGAGAAACGAGUUAGUCUUUGGUCUAUGAUAAAGGACAAUGUUGGAAAGGAUCUUACACGAGUUUGUCUCCCAGUUUAUUUUAAUGAGCCCAUAUCAUCCCUUCAGAAAUGUUGUGAGGACAUGGAAUAUUCUCAUCUUUUAGACCAAGCAUAUGAAUAUGGAAGACAGGGGAACAAUUUCCUCAGGGUCCUCAAGGUUGCUGCAUUUGCCGUUUCUGGUUAUGCUUCCUCUGAAGGACGACAUUGUAAACCAUUCAACCCUUUGCUUGGGGAAACUUAUGAAGCUGACUUUCCUGAGAAAGGGAUUCGUUUCUUCUCCGAGAAGGUAAGUCAUCACCCGACCGUCAUUGCGUGCCAUUGUGAAGGCAGAGGAUGGAGAUUCUGGGGUGACAGCAACCUGCGAUCAAAAUUUUGGGGACGUUCAAUUCAGCUUGACCCUGUUGGAGUUCUUAACUUGGAAUUUGAUGAUGGAGAAAUAUUUCAGUGGAGCAAGGUCACCACAAAUAUUUAUAAUCUCAUUCUCGGAAAAGUAUAUUGUGAUCAUCAUGGUACGAUGCACAUACGUGGUAAUAGAGAAUAUUCUUGCACACUUAAGUUCAAAGAGCCUUCAAUUUUAGAUCGAAAUCCUCAUCAGGUUCAUGGAUUUAUCGAAGAUGCUAAUGGUCGAAAGGUUGCCACAAUAUUUGGCAAGUGGGAUGAAGGUAUGUAUUACGUGGAAGGUGAGAGCAAUGGGAACCCAAAGCGCAAUGCCCCUCCAAGUGAUGAAUUGAUGCUGUGGAAGAGCGAAAAACCUGCUCCUGAUCUCACUCGUUACAAUUUAACUUCAUUUGCCAUCACUCUUAACGAACUGACAUUGGACCUGAAGGAAAGGCUUCCACCCACGGAUUCAAGACUUAGACCAGACCAGCGACAUUUGGAAAAUGGUGAAUAUGAAAAGGCAAAUGAAGAGAAACAACGCUUGGAGAGACGACAGCGAAUUUCCAGGAAGUUGCAAGACAAUGGUUGGAAACCCAGAUGGUUUUAUAGAGAAGGUGAAGAUGGGCCAUACCGAUACAUGGGUGGCUACUGGGAAGCACGAGAUGAAGGAAAGUGGGAUGGUUGCCCAGAUGUAUUUGGCGAAUUGAACGAGAGCAUGGUAGGCGAAUUGGGAUCAUGAUUUUAGUCAGGUGAGUCGUUGGUUUUCUUUUCAUGUCCACAGAAUUUUGCCAGUCCAAUGAAAAGCCAAUCUAAGUUAGAGCAUAUUCCUCCUUAAAACUUCUGCGAUUUCCAUCAACCUUUCGAGGUUAUCACACACCCCUGGAGCAAAUACCUAGCAUGGGAAAUUGGGCACCAAGAAUUUGAGAUAAUGCAGGAAUAGCUCGAAAGUGUUGUCGAAUCAGCAACGAAUACGAGUAGCCUGGCCUUCUUCAACUUAAUUCUUUUCACUAUACUUCUUCUCAAAGGUUAAUAAGAACUGGUGAUUCUUUGAGCACUUAAGUAAAGAAUUCUUCCUCAGCUAUACAGUGGUUUAGGAUAAAAUCUUAUGCACCAUUUUCAUGGUCAUCCUUCUCUCUCUCUCUCUCUCUAGCUUGCUUCUUGUUGAGCAAUUGUUUAGUAUUCUGAUGUUUAGAUGAGAAGAGGGAAAAAAAGAUGUAAUUUUGCUCUCAAUCCAUUAUGUAAGCUCUUCUGUUCAGCUGAAUAUACACAUUCCAUAUAUAUAUAUAUAUUUAAUAAAUUUUUUCCUGCUGCAUUGAGCAA